rnacentral:lncRNA from 1 species
CCAGAUUCUGCCCCAAAAGACUAGCUAAAGAGAAGCCUGGAUUAAUCGGAACCAGGUUGCCACCCAGAGGGAGAGGCAUGAACUGAGUGAUCAUAGAGAUAAAACAAGGGAAGUAGAACUGAAGGAUGGAGAGAAACCAGGACCUGACAAUUACUGGUGACAUCAUUUGAGCCCAAAUCCAGCCAUGUCUACAGACACUGAUAGCAGCAAGGGGCAGACAAAUGCCUGUGCAAAUGGGGCACAUCCCUGGUGAAAUACACCUUCAAGCUAAAAAACAACCUGAAGGCUGAAAGGCUGGACUCCUGGUCCUGGAUGAAACCCAGACCCAGAGUGAGAACUUCUGUUUGUGUUUGCCUGCCCUUUCCUGAUUGAUUCUUUCUGAAUAAUGCCUUUUAACCAAUCAAAUGUUGCCUUUCCAUUACUACCUAUGGCCUGCCCCUCCCCUAUUCUAAGCCCAUAAAAGCCCAAGACUCAGCCACAUUGGGGGUACUUUCCUGCCUUUUAGAGGGACCACCCCCAUGUUCCCUCUCCCUGGAAAGCUGUUUUGUCACUGAAUAAAACUCUCCACUUUGCCCACUCUUUGACUGUCAGUGUAUCUUCAUUCUUCUUGGACACUGGACAAGAACUCAGGAACUAGUGCACAAACCGGAGUCAGCCCGGGUAGGAUGAUUUGACAGAGCACCUCCUACAGCAGGUAGCAUGC